UUGUCCAGCUGCAGAGCUCUGCAAACCCCCUAUAUCCAGCAUGAUUGGGUGGGCACAACCUGGACGCACAGAAAACCUGUCUUUUUAGGAGGGAGACGCAAAGAUUAGGUGUUUUAAUCCCUUAAAGGCUUGACAGGACACU
rnacentral:snoRNA from 1 species